rnacentral:rRNA from 1 species
UCAGCUCGUGUCGUGAGAUGUUGGGUUAAGUCCCGCAACGAGCGCAACCCUUGUCAUUAGUUGCCAGCAUUAAGUUGGGCACUCUAAUGAGACUGCCGGUGACAAACCGGAGGAAGGUGGGGAUGACGUCAAGUCAUCAUGCCCCUUAUGACCUGGGCUACACACGUGCUACAAUGGACGGUACAACGAGAAGCGACCCUGUGAAGGCAAGCGGAUCUCUGAAAGCCGUUCUCAGUUCGGAUUGCAGGCUGCAACUCGCCUGCAUGAAGCUGGAAUCGCUAGUAAUCGCAAAUCAGCACGUUGCGGUGAAUACGUUCCCGGGCCUUGUACACACCGCCCGUCACACCAUGAGAGUCUGUAACGCCCGAAGCCGGCGGGAUAACCGAAAGGAGUCAGCCGUCUAAGGCGGGACAGAUGAUUAGGGUGAAGUCGUAACAAGGUAGCCGUAGGAGAACCUGCGGCUGGAUCACCUCCUUUCUAAGGAA